rnacentral:rRNA from 1 species
AUCCUGGCUCAGGAUGAACGCUAGCGACAGGCCUAAACACAUGCAAGUCGAGGGGCAGCACAUGAGUAGCAAUACGAUGGUGGCGACCGGCGCACGGGUGAGUAACACGUAUGCAACCUGCCUGUAAGAGGGGAUAACCCGGAGAAAUUCGGACUAAUACCGCAUAAUACCACGAGACUGCAUUGGUUUUGUGGUUAAACAUUUAUGGCUUACAGAUGGGCAUGCGUAUGAUUAGAUAGUUGGUAGGGUAACGGCCUACCAAGUCUACGAUCAUUAGGGGUUCUGAGAGGAAGGUCCCCCACACUGGUACUGAGACACGGACCAGACUCCUACGGGAGGCAGCAGUGAGGAAUAUUGGUCAAUGGGCGAGAGCCUGAACCAGCCAAGUCGCGUGAAGGAAGAAGGUUCUAUGGAUUGUAAACUUCUUUUGCAGGGGAAUAAAGGACGGUACGUGUACUGUUUUGUAUGUACCUUGCGAAUAAGGAUCGGCUAACUCCGUG